rnacentral:rRNA from 1 species
AUUGAACGCUGGCGGCAGGCCUAACACAUGCAAGUCGAACGGUAACAGGAAGAAGCUUGCUUCUUUGCUGACGAGUGGCGGACGGGUGAGUAAUGUCUGGGAAACUGCCUGAUGGAGGGGGAUAACUACUGGAAACGGUAGCUAAUACCGCAUAACGUCGCAAGACCAAAGAGGGGGACCUUCGGGCCUCUUGCCAUCGGAUGUGCCCAGAUGGGAUUAGCUAGUAGGUGGGGUAACGGCUCACCUAGGCGACGAUCCCUAGCUGGUCUGAGAGGAUGACCAGCCACACUGGAACUGAGACACGGUCCAGACUCCUACGGGAGGCAGCAGUGGGGAAUAUUGCACAAUGGGCGCAAGCCUGAUGCAGCCAUGCCGCGUGUAUGAAGAAGCCCUUCGGGUUGUAAAGUACUUUCAGCGGGGAGGAAGGGAGUAAAGUUAAUACCUUUGCUCAUUGACGUUACCCGCAGAAGAAGCACCGGCUAACUCCGUG